rnacentral:rRNA from 1 species
UACGGGGGGGGGGCAAGCGUUGUUCGGAAUUACUGGGCGUAAAGGGCCAGUAGGCGGCCAACUAAGUCGGAUGUGAAAUCCCCAGGCUUAACCUGGGAACUGCAUCCGAUACUGGAUGGCUUGAAUUCGGGAGAGGGAUGCAGAAUUCCAGGUGUAGCGGUGAAAUGCGUAGAUAUCUGGAGGAAUACCGGUGGCGAAGGCGGCAUCCUGGACCGACAUUGACGCUGAGGCACGGAAAGCGUGGGGGAGCAAACAGG